rnacentral:rRNA from 1 species
UACAGAGGCCUCGAGCGUUAGGCGGAAUCACUGGGCUUAAAGCGUGUGUAGGUGGAUGCCUAAGUGCCUUGUGAAAUUCCACGGCUUAACCGUGGAAUUGCUGGGCAUACUGGGUGUCUUGAGCCACUCAGGGGCUACCGGAACAAAUGGUGGAGCGGUGAAAUGCGUAGAUAUCAUUUGGAACGCCAAUGGUGAAAACAGGUAGCUGGGGGUGUGCUGACACUGAGACACGAAAGCCAGGGGAGCAAACGGG